rnacentral:lncRNA from 1 species
ACUCUGGAAUCUUUUAUGCUAUCCUUGUCAAACUCAAGAAUUCCCUACCAUAUAUCGCACAGAGGGAACUUCAGCAGAAGCUAUUCUAGACACUAGUAGAACUGAACAAUUUCACAAUCCCCUGUCCACCUAUGUCGGUGCAAAAUUCAUCCUCAGCCAUAAAAUUGGGCACCUGUUUUCGCACUAGACCCAAAACCCUAGGUGGACAUCUAAUCAAGCAGGUGCACAGAUGGCAAAGUGAUGAGCCGGCAAAUGCUACCGAGACACCACAUCAUACCAAGCUCCCCCAGCACCCCAGGCUAAUCGCCCAGUCUAGCAGCAGCAAAUAGUGAACCAUUCAGGCAUCACUUGUAACAGUCGAUCAGAGUGGGGCAACAACCUCGGCAAAUUCGGCCUGGCGGCCAGGGUUGUGCUGCGACUCGGGGCGGAUCUCGAUGUCGGCGGACUCAUCAACAAUCUCCUGCAUGGUGUUCUGGAUGAACUCGUCGAAGGAAUCGAGCUGCUGGCGCACGAGGCCCUUCUCCUCGAAGUAGGCGGAUAUGACGGCCCAGGCGUCGUCCUGAGUGAUAUCCUCCUACUGCUCAGCGUCCCCGUCCGCAUCCUCAUCCAUCUCUUCCCCGCCCCCGCCACCGUACCCCACCUCGUCGUCCUCCUCCGCGUCGUACCCCCCGUGGGCACCUGUUUCCGCACUAGACCCAAAACCCUAGGUGGACAUCUAAUCAAGCAGGUGUACAGAUGGCAAAGUGAUGAGCCGGCAAAUGCUACCGAGACACCACGUCAUACCAAGCGCCAUCAUCUUCUCGAGGAGGUCCAUGGCGUCGGUCCCUCUCAGCGCGGGGCGGUGGUAGCGACGGUGUGGCAAGAAGGAAGAGGGCGAGAUGGGGGUUGUGCGAGCUACGGCGGCAGGGAGAGGAAGUGGACGGCACCUCAGCAGGGACGGCCGGUGAGCGGGCGAGGAGGAGGAGGAGGUGGACGGCCGAUGAUCCGGAGAGCGGUGGCGCGGCGGCGGCGCGGUCUGCUGGUGAGAGAGAGAAGCGCGUGGGUGGGAAUGAGACAGGUGAGAGAGAGAGCCGCGCGUGGGAUUAGAUUUAGCUUUUCA